rnacentral:lncRNA from 1 species
GAUAAGCUAGCUAUUGAUCAACAAACUUCGAAGUACUUGCAUCUGUACAAAAAUGUACAGAAGUGUAGCAUGAGUACACCACAGCGGUACCCAGUAAGUAUCAAGACUAACCUCGGUAAAGUAGUGACGAGGGACAGUCAAGAUGUCUACUAGACUUAAUAACCAGUACAAUUAUGAAUAUAAAACUAACAGAGAACAAUAAUAAGCUAAGCAUGGUAAGAAUAAUGUUACGACACUCGCGUUAAGAACUAGAAACAACAAUUAACAACAAGGAGGCAACAGGUAAUAACGUCAUAAAGUAAACAGAAUACAGUUUAAGUCCGGUGAAACCAAGUAAGGCAUGACAAGUAACAACCCAAUAAAAUGACCGCUUUCACACAAGGAUUAUACAAGAAUUUUCCCAAUGUGCCACACCUCAUAAUCACAAAGCACGGGUCCCAAGUCAUUAACUCUAAUCACUUGGCAUCUUGUGCCCACAUGUAAAACCACAACCGCAUGGACAACUAACGUGCCAAUACUAUCAAUACCUUGAUUUUCCUCCUUUACCACUAGAUUGUCCAACUCUUUUAGAUCCUACACCUGCCAUGUGUAAGAAACAAAUCAAAGAACAUUUAUAUAAUAUAGAGUCGGUUUGGAUUAGCUGAUUUGAAGUAGCUGAUAAGCAUUAGGUACUGAAAAGAACUUUUAAGUACUAAAACUGAUUUAACAAAUAAACAGUUACGUGUUUGGAUACAAGUGCUGAAAUUGAUAAUAAACUGCUGCAGUAUUUGAUAAAAAAGUGUCGAUAAGCUCUUUUUUCCGUUAAAAUGACUUGAAUAACCUUAGAACUAUUUACACUUAUAAUGGCAUAAUUUUUUUAAAAUUUUAGAUUGCAGAUCGAUUCAAAUACAAAAUAUUCUAUUUUUCAUUUUAUUUUAAAUAUAACUGUAAUUAGAUAAGAUACUUUUUAUGAUAAAUAUAAUUUAUUUUAUGAUAAACAUAUAAUCAUAAAUUAUAAUAAUUAAUAAAUUGACAAAAGUUUCUCAGUAAAAAAAUAAACCUAAAUAGGAUAAAAUAUUUGAAGAGAAACAUUGUCUCCAUCACCACAACACUUUGAAACCAAUACACCAAAAAUUUGAUAUCUCCUCAUUUAUUACAUACAGUUCAAAGAUUAAUACACAAUCAUAUAGAUACAAAUAUGCAAAGGAAUAGAGAAUUUACUUACCUCAAAUAGUCAAUGAGAAUUGCAGACUUGAAGAGGCGGGGGGUUUUAGGUUGAAAAAANNNNNNNNNNNNNNNNNNNNNNNNNGCAAAGGAAUAGAGAAUUUACUUACCUCAAAUAGUCAAUGAGAAUUGCAGACUUGAAGAGGCGGGGGGUUUAGGUUGAAAAAAUUACGUGAGGCAGUGAGUAUCGAUGUAGGAGUUUGUUUUGAAAAGGAAUAUUUUAGGGAUAAAAUAGUAAAAAUUUUGGUCAAAUUUAAAGUGCUUAUAAGCUAGAAAUUUAUAAGCUGGGGGUGACCAGCUUAUGGCUUAUUUUUGGCUUAUAAGCACUUUUAACUUUACCAAACACGUAGAUAAGCCAAAAAGUGCUUAUAAGCUAGUUUGACCAGCUUAUAAGCUUAGCCAAACACCCUCAUAUUAAUAAUCUAAUAGAUGUACAACAAAUGAAUAAACUUGAGAAAGAAUGGAGGUGACGGAGCUUAGCGGGUGGAGGAGGCGGAGAGAGCAAAAGCAUCGGUGAAAGUUUGAGAGAGUACAAUACCAAGCUCAGCGUUGCCGUCGUCUCUAAGUCCUGACCUAGGUUUGAAAGCCAAAAGUUUUGAUUCUUUUCCUUUUGCUAUGGAGCUGAAAUUUCCCGCUUCUGUUCUUCUCUUUUUUUUCCAGUUGUAAAGAAAUAUGUAUAUAUUAAAGCUUUUAUUAUUUGGAAGUAAAUUAUGUAAUUUUUUUAAAAGAUUAGAUUAUAACCAUAAAAUUAGUAAAAACUUUCAAAGAUUACUUUUAUAAUUUUAAAAUUUUAAAUAUGACCAUAUAUGUCAAUUUAACAUAACAAAAGAUAACUUAUGUUUCUUAAAAAAUGAAUUUAAUUGUUUGAAUAAAAAAAAUUAUCCCGAAAAUAAUGAAAGAAAUUGUGUGGGAAUGUCAUAUCAAAUUAUCUUCAAACCAAAACAAUUUCACUAAGCUUGACAUAACUAUUAUUCAAAAAUAUUACUUUUUCAACAUAACUAAGUGUUUACCCAUAAAAGAUACAGUUGAAUUUGUAAUGUAGUUUAUAGACAAGUGAAUCGAUUUGAUUCUAAAGUACGAAAUGAAUAAUAACAGAAACAAGAAUACGAAAUAAAAUUAAGGGAAGCACAAGCCUGAGUAUGAAUUUAGCCUUUCCGGUGGAAAAGGCGAGAACAAUAUUCAAGAACAAAGACUGGGAACGAUGUUAUAAAAUGAGAGCAGAGUAUAGCUUCUUUGUGUACAAAAUAAUUUGUGCCUACAAUGGAUGUUAAUUCUCCUAUUUAUAGCUAUAUUAAGGGAGAAAAGAUCCCCAAAUCAAGCUCCUUUUGAAUGAGAAUAAAUCCGUCAUUGAUGGCUACAUAACGGUUGGUUAUAAAUGCUGAUAUUUUCUGUAACGGCCGCUCAUUGAAUGCUAUCCGAUAUCAAUACUUUGAACCUUUAUCGUCGGCUACUCUACCUUCGGGGCUCAUCCAGCGCUGGCCACAUGCUGGCAACUGGCAUUGACUACUUGCUGACGCACAUCCUACAUGCCUUCAGCUCCACGUGUCAUCUCUUCAUUCGUCUAACUGUCAACAACUAAUUUUACCAAAUAUAGAUAGUCCCCCAUAUUUUUCGGUGACAAUACUUUAUUGUCACCAGGAAGUAGAGAAAACGUUUUUCCUUAGCGAGCAAGUUUCUGAACAGUUCCUGACAUUUGAAAGGACGCACGUCUCUCCGCAUUGAAUGACCCGAACACGUGUUACCCUAUGAUUUGGCAAAUAUUUUCGUCGGUUCUCGAGGUAAUCAUGAUCAUAAUAUUUUUCAUCUAUAACUUCUCCACUACUCAUCAUUUUUACUCUUUACUUUCACAACUCCUUCUUCUUCUUUGAAUCUCCAUAGAACCCUUCUGUUACAUUCAACUCUCUCAGUAAAAAUUCUCUUCAUAAACAUGUCUUCAAACACUACCGCCCUCGGAAACUCACACCUUUUCUUCGGAGGUGGCCCUAAGAAAACCAAAACAAAGGAAGUUGAAGUCGAUUAUGAACCUCUUACCAUGAACUCCAUCAUACCUCUUAAACUUAGUACGAAAUACGACCUUCAAGAACAAAAACCACCUACAAAUUCUAAAAGCGACAGGUUCUGGCAUGUUCAUAGUUACCCUUCUUCCAUUCGUCCUUCUAGCGUCCCUGUCGUGAAGGAGGAAUGUAAUUGGAACAAUGUUGAAAUCCUCACCCCCAAUGAAGUAUAAAGAGUUACCUUCACCAAGCCAUGGUUCAUGUAUGUCCGCCUCACUCUUGAUUGGUUUGAAGGCUUCUUUAGCGGCGUAAGCAGAAGACUAUUGAAAGUUGACGAAGGCUAGACAAUGUAUAGCACUCUGUCAGCGAAGCCCCCUACUACGAAUGAGAAUGAACGAACUCGGUCUAGCGCAAAAGGAGAGAAGAAUAAGCAAAUGGACCGUACAUACCCUUUCACUUUGGGACCUUUCACUUUGGGAGCGGGUGAAGGAGCUGACCCAAUAAUCUUAGAGUUUUGCCACAGGUACCAAGUAUAUUUGGAACAAGUAGCCCCAUCUGUGUGGCGUACGGUGGCUUGCUUCCGCCAGUUGUGCCUUGAGACCAAGGAAACCCUAAUUCUCACACAUAUGAUGAGACUCUACUCCCCAAAGAUUUUCCAUGGGGGUGUGCUCAAUCUUAGCAAACGUAGUCAUCAUGCCCUCCUUAUCAGCGUUGAUGAUAACAAUGACCAUGAAUGGAUGGAACAGUUUGUUGUCAUCGAUACCAGGGACAUCAUCCCAACCACAGCACCAGCUUUUCCCGAAUCAUGGAAUCUUUUCCGUAAGUUUUUCGGGUAUUUGUUUCCUUUCCAUGUAAAAAGAAAGUUUUUUUCUUUGCUAAAUUUUUAUUUUCUUCAUUCCAGCCACUCACUAAGAGCCUCUGCAAGUUCAAGAUCUCGACCGAUGGAUACAGAAAAUUCUGGAUAUCACCACACCAGAAUUCCGAAGGUGGAAAGAGAUAGCUCUCAAAUAUGGGUGGAAAGCCAAAAAUCAUGGUAAACAAAUAUUCUUCCUUCCUCCUAUCUUACCGAAUAACUUAGAAAUAAUUCACUGACUACCCUUUCUGUACUGUACAUCACUUCUGAAGGGAUCAGUUAUUUGCCCCGAUAUUGAGGCUCUCGAUGACCCGGAGGAAGCUUAAUAGGUGUUGUAAAAUGCCUUAAACCAGAGGAGAACUCGUGAAUCCGCUCUACCUUCUCGUGAAGGAGCCUCCUCUUAGAGUCCCCAGUCUAAGGAUAAAAAACCAAAGAGAAAAUGUAUCUCUUCGGCGGGGACUCAGGAGAAGAAAUCGAAGAAAACACCAACUGGACCGACCACAGUAGUCCUAGAUGAUGAAGAAGGAGGCGAUGAUGAAGAAGCUCCUCUUCAAAGAAGGAAAAGAUCUUCAUCAGCUCAACCGGAUGCUCAGGCGGGAGAGCUUCAAACUCCCCCACCAGAGGUCAUCCAAGAACUAUGGGGGGGAGGGGGGAUGGACAUAGUCGAAAACGCUUCAUCCCGUUUUCGAAUCCCCACAAUUGUUUCUGGUCAAAGGAUUUCAAUUCCUAACAUCCCUCCACCGCCAAAUUCAGGGCCGAUAACAACUUCUUCUCCAGCUGCUUCAUAUCCAUCUACACCAGGUAUUUCUUCUCCAUCUAUGCCAGCUACUUCUUCUCUACCGGCCCCAACUGAACAAGUAGGAAAUGCCCCUUCUCCACGGUCUCCCGACCACGGAAUCUUAGGAAAUACUUAUUCGGUACCCUCUCAAGACCCUCAUAGAAAAUGAAGUGUCAUUCUUUUGGUUUCGAAGGAGUUCCAUAUACUUUCCAAGUCGUUGGAGCUUGCUAAUUAUCUGAAGUCUAUGGCCUCGGAGAAAGAUUGGAGAAUGAUGGACUCUCUUUCUGCGGAGUGUCUGAUAAACAAUAGCAUGCGUUGCUUGAUGAGGGUAAAAAUACAAUUGCCUUCUAUCUCCUUUCAAUUUGUGCUACGUAUUAGUAACCUUACCACUGAUCUUUCUCAGGCCAACCUUCUUGCUUCCGAGGUCCUGCAAAGGUUGAUUCUGGAAAAGCAAAAGCUUACUUCAGAACGAGAUCAACUUUUGGCCAAAAGAAAUCAGCUUGUCGAGCGCCUCCCGAUGCUGGAGGAAAGAAUUGCUCAAAUGGAUAACCUCGAUGCUCGGUUGCAGCAGUCUGAACAAGAUAGGAUUACUCAUAGCUAGGAAGCUUCCCAGCUACAUGAAAACCUUAAGGAAGCAAAGGGUAAGUAGGAUGAACUUCAUGAUAUUGUGACUCUUGCUGCCGAGCGUGAGUCUGACUUCAUGGAACAAGUUAAUAACUUGGAGGCUAGCUUACGCUCCAAAACCGAGUAGGCCAAUACUGCCGAGGAGAGGAGGGCAAGAAUGGAGAAAAUACUCAAAAGGGUCACGGAGAAAAAUCAACUCCAUUCAAGAACCAAUGUCGAGCUUGACUCCAAAAUCAACAUUAUGAAAGCUGAAAAUGAAAAGCUUCAAUCCAAGAUUGAAAAACUCCGAGCCACACUCCAAGACCAAGAGGAUUCAAUCGUCUUCAUGAAAACCUAUGCCAUUUAUCAUACGAAGAGGAAGACCUUAGAGGAGGCCAAAUAGGGCAUUGCUAAUAUUGAUGAAUGUAUUGAGGGUCAGAUACGGAGGGGAGAAUGCUUCCCGAUCACUCUCUCAGAGAGAGAGAAAGAGAGAGAGAGAGAGAGAGAGAGAGAGAGAGAGAGAGAGAGAGAGAGAGAGAGAGUAGUAAGUAGUAAGUACGUAACGUAACGUAACGUAACGUUAGCGAGAUCUUGCAACCACACCGAAGAAGAAAGGUCGGGGAGCUGGAGACAACUGCUCAUGAGAAUCUCCAUGCUCGGCACGUUGCUUCUGAUUCUUCGAACACUAACUCCGAGUAUUCGAGAACUGAGGGAGAAAUUGAAGAAGAUGAAGGCCUCGAACCGGAAGCGGAUUACCCUUCUCCCCACUAGAGAAAAUGAAGACUAUUCUCUUCCUUCGGGUUCUGGCAGCAAGAACUGAUGUAUAUAUUUUUCUUUACUUUUGGUAAUUAUGUCGAAAUGUUUUACUAAGUUCGGCAUUUUAUUCAAUGGAAAAAACUUUUUGCUUAAGUGUUGUAUAAAAAUAUUCUUUUUUAUUUAACUGACAAAGCUUCGGGAAUCUUUUCAAAUCCGAUAGCUUUUGAUUCCGGGCAUAAACACUUUCGAAAUCUACUCUUUAUUAUGAGGGUAUCAUAAGAGAGGCCCCUUAUGUUUACGGUUCUCUUGAAGAAGACGUCUCAUGUUCAUUCCUGCACAAGUAUUUGAAGUUUAUGUUAAUUUUUAAAAGAUAAAAUAAACUAACUUACUAUUUGGACAUGAAAUAAGAUAAAAAUAACAAGACUUUGAUUUAUUCCCUUUAUCUUUAAAAGUAAAUUUACAUAAAUAUUCAUUUGCUUAAGUAAACAAAACUGCCAAUACAUGUGGCUAAUUUGUACAACUAAUUUCUACAGGGAUGAUCAUGCAGUCCCCAGUCCUGAUAAGACAUUGAUCACGGUUCUAACAGUCCCCAGUCAUUGUAACACCUUUAGUGCCUUAUCAUAUAUUAUCAAACAAAGGAAGUCUUGCAUUCGCCGAUGACACUUCCUUCGUAGUAUGCUUUACAUUGUUGUUUCAUUAAUAGAAAUAGCUUGGGGAUGGUAAAAUAAUUUGUUUCCAGAUGUUAACGAGCCAAAGAUUAUUUAACCAUCCACAGGUUGUUUGCCAUACGAGUUGAUCUACACAGAACUGUUUUUGGAAGUCCUGCAUUUGCCGACGAUCCUUCCUUCGUAGUAUGCUUUACAUUACUGCCUCAUUAAAAAUCUUGCGAGAAAAACCCAAUUGGGACAAAAACUGAUCGAAGAAAAAAAGAGUGCAGCGCAUACUUUCAGUACCAGCAAGGAUCUUUAGCAAUAAUACCUUUUGAGGUGGGUCACGUUCCAAUUUCUUGAAAAUUUGACUCCACUUAAUCUUCCAAUUCAUACGAACUUUUACCGAUUAUAGCUGAAACCCGGUAAGGGCCUUCCCAUGUUGGUCCCAGCUUCCCGGCAUUAACUUCCUGAGUACUUUGAGUGACUUUUCUUAGAACCAAAUUCCCGACUUUGAAAUAUCGGAGAUUCACUCUGCGGAUGUAAUAUCUUUUCAUCCUUUGCUUUUGUGCCACCGUCCUCACAUAUGCCAGAUCCUGGUGCUCUUUAAGUAAAUCCAAUUUAACUAGCAAUGCUUCAUUGUUUGCUUCUUCGUUUGCUCGAAAAAAACUCAAGGUUGGUUCCCCCACUUACACCGGUAUCAAAGCCUCUGAAUCAUAUACAAGUGAAAAGGGUGUUUCACCCAUGCUCGACUUCGUCGUGGUCCUGUAUGCCUAUAAUACACUCGGUAGCUUAUCCGGCUACUUGCCUUUAGCAUCCUCUAACUUUUUUUAAGGUUUUAAAUAAUUACCUUGUUGGUCGACUCCGCUUGUCCAUUAGCACUCCGGUGGUAUGGUGAAGAUGUAAUUCAUUUUAUCUUCAAUAUUUCCAAAAACUUUGUGACUUUGGAACCUAUGAACUGUGGCCCGCUCAUGGAAUGCUACCCGAUACAAUAUGUUGAACCUUUAUCGUCGACUACUCUGCCUUCGGGUCUCAUCCAGCGUUGUCCACAUGUUGGCAGCCGACGUCGACUACUUGUUGACUCACAUCUUACCUGCCUUCAACUCUACGUGUCAUCUCUUCAUUCAUCUAACUAUCACCAACCAAUUUUAUCGUAUACACUAAGUCAUUAGUAACUUCUUCACACAAAAAAUAUUUUGUAAACCCUAUGAAAUCAAAUUGAAAUGUUUCUUAAAUUUGUGUGUACCCCAUGAUUUUCUCAAAAUCCCUAUGUUUAUACAGUUUCUAUCUUCCCCACAUUCAUUAACUACACAACGAUGAUCAUUUAUCGUCCAUACUGGUUAAUAUAAUCUAGCUAGGGUCAUGUAAAAAGAAUGGGGACGUAUAAAAAAUAUGCACAUAGAAUAAACUUAUACACUUUCUCUACUAUCGAACUUCUUCAAUAUGAUAAUUGUGUUCCAAACAUAAAUUUUAAUUUAUCUUAGUCUUAAGGUAAAAUAAUUCUUUACUAUUACUUGUAACUUAUUCCCAUGCCCUCUGAUUAGCUUGGAAACUUAUCAACGAUGAUCUCUACGCUUUAUAUCAAUAUUUAGGUUUAUUUCAUUGUCUGACUCACAAAAUUUAACAAAUAGUGUUGUGGUACAUUUUUUUAUUUGUAAUUAUAUAAUAAACUUAACCACAAAAAGACAAUAAAUUUUCAGCUAAAUCGAUGCAUAAAUAAUUCAGUAAGUUAUAAAAUUCUCAAACAACAUCUGUAAUUUUCAAAGACAAUAUUCUGACUCAAGCUCGGAGCAAGUAAAUCCCUAUGCAAGAAAAAAAGAUAAAUCCCAGAGUGAUGGAAAUCCUCAGGUAAAUCCCCAGGAAUUUUUCCUAGGUAAAUAAAUCAACAGGUAAAUCGCUAUAAAAGAAUUCCCAAGUAAUACAACAAUAGAUAAUCCCCAGGUAAUUUUCCCAUGUAUAUAAGUCCCCAUAUAAAUCCUCACGAAAAUAUUCGAAGGUGAAACCCAAACAAUAUAUCCCCAAGUAUUUCCCUUGGUACAUAAAUUCCCUAGUAAUUCCCCAAAAAAUAUUUUUCAUGUAAAAUUGUAGAAAAAUAACCCCAGGUAAUUCCUUAGAAAAAAUAAAUCCCCAGGUACAUCCCCAUGAAAUAAUCCGCAGCAAACUCCGCAUGACAAUUAUCUGGGAAAUUUUCUGCCAACUCACAAACAAACAAAAAUUAUUUUUUUGUUCAUCUACCUACAAAUUCACCUACGGAUAGAGGACUUGCCGAUUAUUUUUCCAUGUAAAUUCCCAGGUAAUACGUUUGCACCUAAUGGCUCCAAAACUACCUGCAGAUUUAUCGGGGAAAAUUAAAUUCGUAUGUAUAAUAUUCUACAACUUAAGAAUUUUAAAUUUUGGCAAGAAAAUCCGUAGGUAAAUCUGAAAAUUUAAUCCCAAGGUAAUUCAUCUUUUCUAGUAGUGUAUAUAUAUUUGCACGGGGUACGCGCGCAACCUAGUAAUAUAAAAAUGUUUCAACCCAGAAACAAAACAGAAAUCCUAUUAUCAAAUACCCUCCUGCCACUGGUUUUGUCAUCCCUUUUCUAUUUAUCUUCUCCGCUAUUUUUGGUCUUCAGCAACAUACAUACCAGCAAAACUAUCAGAUACUUUUUUCCUGGCCAAAUAUAUAGUCAACCCCUUAAACUUGUCACUAUUUUUCACUUAGACAUCUCAAUUGCAGCAGUGAUCUAUUAGACACUCGAACUAUAUUCAAACUAUGCCUAUUGAGCACCUCAUGUUGACCUGGCACAAAGUGUGAUUCUCACCCAAGUUUGAGCGCGUGAGUGGACUAAAUAAUGGCGAAUGUCUAAAAAUUACCUAGCAUCUUAUUCUCUAUCCACACUUAUAUUCUAUCUAACCUUAUCUCCGGUUAGUUCCACCAUUUUCGACCCCCUGUGUUUUUUUCUUUCUUCUUAUUAACACCAUUAAUUACAUGCAUUAUUUAUUAUUCGUUCUAGAUGUUACGUUUGAACAGCAAAGCACAUAAGUUCUCUUAUAUAGACCAACUAAUACAAUUUCUUCACAUUAAGAAGUGAUAUUCCUAACUACAACAAUGUAAAAGCAGAUGAAAUUUAAAGAAAGAAACUGCUUAAUGCUAAUAAACGACAUCAUAGAACUUGUACGAAGCACCACAAACGCAUUCACCCUUGUGGAAAGCACUCAGACACCCCACUCUUCUCAUUUUUUCCUCUGUGUAUUAUUCAACUAAAAUUUGAACGCCAUUUAAGUUACCUUCAAAACCUAGUAUAAAAUUGCUAAAUAAUACCAGAAUAAAAAUAAAGAAAGAGAAAAACUUAGAGAUAAAGACAAACCCGCAUCAAGAUUUGUGCUUCUCUGAUCCUCAUAAGCAAGAAAUUCAAACCCAUGAUUGUCAAUUUUUGCCCCUAACAGGACUAAGAUCGACAACUUCCCCAAACUAAUUAACAUAGAAGGGAGAAAAAAGUAACAU